AGCAGCCGCCGCGGGAAUACGGAGGGGGCUAGCGUUGUUCGGAAUUACUGGGCGUAAAGCGCACGUAGGCGGCUUUGUAAGUUAGAGGUGAAAGCCUGGGGCUCAACUCCAGAAUUGCCUUUAAGACUGCAUCGCUUGAACGUCGGAGAGGUGAGUGGAAUUCCGAGUGUAGAGGUGAAAUUCGUAGAUAUUCGGAAGAACACCAGUGGCGAAGGCGGCUCACUGGACGACUGUUGACGCUGAGGUGCGAAAGCGUGGGGAGCAAACAGGAUUAGAUACCCGAGUAGUCCCUGUCUCUUAUAA
rnacentral:rRNA from 1 species